GAUGAACGCUGGCGGCGUGCCUAAUACAUGCAAGUCGAGCGAACAGACGAGGAGCUUGCUCCUCUGACGUUAGCGGCGGACGGGUGAGUAACACGUGGAUAACCUACCUAUAAGACUGGGAUAAUUUCGGGAAACCGGAGCUAAUACCGGAUAAUAUAUUGAACCGCAUGGUUCAAUAGUGAAAGACGGCUUUGCUGUCUCUUAUAGAUGGAUCCGCGCCGCAUUAGCUAGUUGGUAAGGUAACGGCUUACCAAGGCAACGAUGCGUAGCCGACCUGAGAGGGUGAUCGGCCACACUGGAACUGAGACACGGUCCAGACUCCUACGGGAGGCAGCAGUAGGGAAUCUUCGGCAAUGGGCGAAAGCCUGACGGAGCAACGCCGCGUGAGUGAUGAAGGUCUUCGGAUCGUAAAACUCUGUUAUUGGGGAAGAACAGAUGUGGAAGUAACUAUGCACGUCUUGACGGUACCUAAUCAAAAAGCCACGGCUAACUACGUG
rnacentral:rRNA from 1 species